CCUACGGGUGGCAGCAGUGAGGAAUAUUGGUCAAUGGGCGAGAGCCUGAACCAGCAACGCCGCGUGAAGGAAGAAGGCUUUCGGGUUGUAAACUUCUUUUGACAGGGAAGAGCAGAAGACGGUACCUGUCGAAUAAGCCACGGCUAACUACUUGCCAGCACCCGCGGUAAUACGUUGGUGGCAAGCGUUGUCCUGAUUUACUGGGUGUAAAGGUCGUGUAGCCGGGCUGACAAGUCAGAUGUGAAAUCCGGGGGCUCAACCCCCGAACUGCAUUUGAAACUGUUGGUCUUGAGUAUCGGAGAGGCAGGCGGAAUGCCUAGGGUAGCGGUGAAAUGCGGAGAUAUUAGGAGGAACACCAGUGGCGAAGGCGGCCUGCUGGACGACAACUGACGGUGAGGCGCGAAAGCGUGGGGAGCGAACAGGAUUAGAUACCCGAGUAGUC
rnacentral:rRNA from 1 species